CCCGGCGACCAUAUCGGAAAGGUCACACCUGUUUCCAUCCCGAACACAGUAGUUAAGCUUUUCGAGCCGAUGAUAGUGCCAAAAGCGUGAAAGUAGGUAUCGCCGGGA
rnacentral:rRNA from 1 species